AGAGUGAGUCAGCCUAAUUCCAAAAUAUCAAUUAAUUUGAUGAAACGGAAACGGGGGAACCAAUUUAGGGGCGUAUCAUUACUUUAACAGUAAAGAAGGACAUCUCUCAGUCCUAGCCCGUCAGCUAACUUCGUAGGCAUUGAGAGGAGACUAA
rfam:Geminocystis sp. NIES-3708 DNA, complete genome.